rnacentral:rRNA from 1 species
GGGUUGUGAGGUUAAGCGACUAAGCGUACACGGUGGAUGCCCUGGCAGUCAGAGGCGAUGAAGGACGUGCUAAUCUGCGAUAAGCGUCGGUAAGGUGAUAUGAACCGUUAUAACCGGCGAUUUCCGAAUGGGGAAACCCAGUGUGAUUCGUCACACUAUCAUUAACUGAAUCCAUAGGUUAAUGAGGCGAACCGGGGGAACUGAAACAUCUAAGUACCCCGAGGAAAAGAAAUCAACCGAGAUUCCCCCAGUAGCGGCGAGCGAACGGGGAGCAGCCCAGAGCCUGAAUCAGUGUGUGUGUUAGUGGAAGCGUCUGGAAAGGCGCGCGAUACAGGGUGACAGCCCCGUACACAAAAAUGCACAUGCUGUGAGCUCGAUGAGUAGGGCGGGACACGUGGUAUCCUGUCUGAAUAUGGGGGGACCAUCCUCCAAGGCUAAAUACUCCUGACUGACCGAUAGUGAACCAGUACCGUGAGGGAAAGGCGAAAAGAACCCCGGCGAGGGGAGUGAAAAAGAACCUGAAACCGUGUACGUACAAGCAGUGGGAGCACGCUUAGGCGUGUGACUGCGUACCUUUUGUAUAAUGGGUCAGCGACUUAUAUUCUGUAGCAAGGUUAACCGAAUAGGGGAGCCGAAGGGAAACCGAGUCUUAACUGGGCGUUAAGUUGCAGGGUAUAGACCCGAAACCCGGUGAUCUAGCCAUGGGCAGGUUGAAGGUUGGGUAACACUAACUGGAGGACCGAACCGACUAAUGUUGAAAAAUUAGCGGAUGACUUGUGGCUGGGGGUGAAAGGCCAAUCAAACCGGGAGAUAGCUGGUUCUCCCCGAAAGCUAUUUAGGUAGCGCCUCGUGAAUUCAUCUCCGGGGGUAGAGCACUGUUUCGGCAAGGGGGUCAUCCCGACUUACCAACCCGAUGCAAACUGCGAAUACCGGAGAAUGUUAUCACGGGAGACACACGGCGGGUGCUAACGUCCGUCGUGAAGAGGGAAACAACCCAGACCGCCAGCUAAGGUCCCAAAGUCAUGGUUAAGUGGGAAACGAUGUGGGAAGGCCCAGACAGCCAGGAUGUUGGCUUAGAAGCAGCCAUCAUUUAAAGAAAGCGUAAUAGCUCACUGGUCGAGUCGGCCUGCGCGGAAGAUGUAACGGGGCUAAACCAUGCACCGAAGCUGCGGCAGCGACGCUUAUGCGUUGUUGGGUAGGGGAGCGUUCUGUAAGCCUGCGAAGGUGUGCUGUGAGGCAUGCUGGAGGUAUCAGAAGUGCGAAUGCUGACAUAAGUAACGAUAAAGCGGGUGAAAAGCCCGCUCGCCGGAAGACCAAGGGUUCCUGUCCAACGUUAAUCGGGGCAGGGUGAGUCGACCCCUAAGGCGAGGCCGAAAGGCGUAGUCGAUGGGAAACAGGUUAAUAUUCCUGUACUUGGUGUUACUGCGAAGGGGGGACGGAGAAGGCUAUGUUGGCCGGGCGACGGUUGUCCCGGUUUAAGCGUGUAGGCUGGUUUUCCAGGCAAAUCCGGAAAAUCAAGGCUGAGGCGUGAUGACGAGGCACUACGGUGCUGAAGCAACAAAUGCCCUGCUUCCAGGAAAAGCCUCUAAGCAUCAGGUAACAUCAAAUCGUACCCCAAACCGACACAGGUGGUCAGGUAGAGAAUACCAAGGCGCUUGAGAGAACUCGGGUGAAGGAACUAGGCAAAAUGGUGCCGUAACUUCGGGAGAAGGCACGCUGAUAUGUAGGUGAAGCGACUUGCUCGUGGAGCUGAAAUCAGUCGAAGAUACCAGCUGGCUGCAACUGUUUAUUAAAAACACAGCACUGUGCAAACACGAAAGUGGACGUAUACGGUGUGACGCCUGCCCGGUGCCGGAAGGUUAAUUGAUGGGGUCAGCGCAAGCGAAGCUCUUGAUCGAAGCCCCGGUAAACGGCGGCCGUAACUAUAACGGUCCUAAGGUAGCGAAAUUCCUUGUCGGGUAAGUUCCGACCUGCACGAAUGGCGUAAUGAUGGCCAGGCUGUCUCCACCCGAGACUCAGUGAAAUUGAACUCGCUGUGAAGAUGCAGUGUACCCGCGGCAAGACGGAAAGACCCCGUGAACCUUUACUAUAGCUUGACACUGAACAUUGAGCCUUGAUGUGUAGGAUAGGUGGGAGGCUUUGAAGUGUGGACGCCAGUCUGCAUGGAGCCGACCUUGAAAUACCACCCUUUAAUGUUUGAUGUUCUAACGUUGGCCCCUAAUCGGGGUUGCGGACAGUGUCUGGUGGGUAGUUUGACUGGGGCGGUCUCCUCCUAAAGAGUAACGGAGGAGCACGAAGGUUGGCUAAUCCUGGUCGGACAUCAGGAGGUUAGUGCAAUGGCAUAAGCCAGCUUGACUGCGAGCGUGACGGCGCGAGCAGGUGCGAAAGCAGGUCAUAGUGAUCCGGUGGUUCUGAAUGGAAGGGCCAUCGCUCAACGGAUAAAAGGUACUCCGGGGAUAACAGGCUGAUACCGCCCAAGAGUUCAUAUCGACGGCGGUGUUUGGCACCUCGAUGUCGGCUCAUCACAUCCUGGGGCUGAAGUAGGUCCCAAGGGUAUGGCUGUUCGCCAUUUAAAGUGGUACGCGAGCUGGGUUUAGAACGUCGUGAGACAGUUCGGUCCCUAUCUGCCGUGGGCGCUGGAGAACUGAGGGGGGCUGCUCCUAGUACGAGAGGACCGGAGUGGACGCAUCACUGGUGUUCGGGUUGUCAUGCCAAUGGCACUGCCCGGUAGCUAAAUGCGGAAGAGAUAAGUGCUGAAAGCAUCUAAGCACGAAACUUGCCCCGAGAUGAGUUCUCCCUGACUCCUUGAGAGUCCUGAAGGAACGUUGAAGACGACGACGUUGAUAGGCCGGGUGUGUAAGCGCAGCGAUGCGUUGAGCUAACCGGUACUAAUGAACCGUGAGGCUUAACCUUACAACGCCGAAG